rnacentral:lncRNA from 1 species
GUCCCGCUUUGCUGCUCCGUGAUAGAACAUGGCAGUUUAGGUUACCAUCUCAAUGUAAAUCUCUUUCAUACACAAAGAUAACAAGCCAAUACGAGAGGAGGGGGACAUUUCUUUGCACCCCCUGACUGAAAUUCGAACAGCAUUCAACACAGAUUCUGUCUCAGAAAUUAUGGAAGCAGCAAAUGAUUACACCAUCUUCCAAAUGGUAGAGCAACAGGUUAAUCUAGUCUACUGGGUACGACCAUGAAGGAUGUCCUACGUGUUCGCCACCGCCUUGACACCACCAGCAAAGUUCUCCAUACCUCUGACGGAGGGCCUCCUACCACGGGUCAUCACAGUGAGCCAGUCCCCCAGCCUACCCAGCAGUCCGCCCAGACGGGAGCCCCCACCCCCUAGAGGUCCAAGGUUGUCACGGUCAUUUCCCUGCUGACUGGACAGGCGUUGGAGUGGGCUACGGCCGUCUGGGAGAGAGGAGAGGAUGCGGUCUUCGACCAUCCUCCAGAGUGCAGAGAGGGAGGUGAGUGACUUUAUUUUUCUUCGAGAGCGCUGGUGUCCACCAUGCCACUCCACCCCUCGUUUGGCUGUCCUAAGGGAGAGCCUGAAACCAUGAGGUGGGGGGCCACGCACCUCUCCACGUCAUGGGAGACAGCUGGGACUCUGUUCCUAUUGCGGCCAGGAGGGACACCAGCUUCAGCGGUGCCCGGUGCGUCCUAAGCCGGGGUCCACUAGAACAGAGGGGUGGCCCUGUGACCUUCCAUCUCCCAAGGUAGGCGUGAGUUUUCCAUCACUUUCCGCCAAACCCUUUCUGGCUUCAUUUUUGCUGGCUGUCCCUCAUCUGUCUCUACAGCUCUAGUGGACUCCAGUGCCGCUGGGAACUUCAUCAACCAGGCCCUCGCCUCCUCCCUGAACUUAACUUCAUACCCGCUCUCCUCCUUUUCCUGUCCAAGCUCUGGAUAUGUGACCAUUGGGAUCCACCACAAUUACUCAUGUCACAGCACCACUCACCUUCAACGUGGGACCCAAGCACUAGGAAAGCCUUCCCUUCACCACCGCACCCAUAUACAAAGUAAUCCUCGGCCUCCCAUGGCUUCAACUCCAUAACCCCACCAUCUCCUGGUCAAGGAUGAGAAUCAUCGCCUGGGGACCAGGAUGCCGAGGGACCUGCUUUCCCGCACCCUGUGGUUCCACGUCUGUGGAGGGUCUUGGGAGUGUCCUCCAGCCCAUCAAGCGGUCCUCCCGUAUCGUUGGUCCCAUGUUUUGGGACAUGAUGUGGACAUCUGCCAGGCUCUGUAGAGAACCAGCUCCUGCCACCUGCCCUCCAGAGUGCAUCUACGUCCCCAAGGAGGUGAGAGAUCGGCUGUUGACCUGGGCACACACAUCCCUUGCCGCUGGACACCCAGGUAUCACCCGCACCAUCCAAUUCCUCUCCGAUAAAUACUGGUGGCCCACCUUGGCGAAGGACGUCGCCCACUAUGUCAACUUAUGUUCAGUAUGUACUCAGUCCAAAUCUUCCCGGCACACUCCAGCAGGUCGCUGAGGCACUAUUCCAGCAGGUCUUCCAACACACGUCGCGGGUCUGGAAAGCCUUUAUGGAGAAGCUGGGGACCAUGAUCAGGUGGACAACCACUGCAGUGAGGCUCCCGUGUUUCAUCCUGGUGCUCACGUCUGGCUCUCCAUCAGAAACCUCCGC